GACGAACGCUGGCGGCGCGCUUAACACAUGCAAGUCGAACGGAAAGGCCUGCUUUCCCUUGUGGAUUGCGGGUACUCGAGUGGCGAACGGGUGAGUAACACGUGAGUGAUCUGCCCCCAACUUGGGUAUAAGCCUGGGAAACUGGGUCUAAUUCCCGAUAGGACUGCAGGGUGGUGCCUGUGGUGGAAAACGAUUUUCUAGUGGUUGGGGAUGAGCUCGCGGCCUAUCAGCUUGUUGGUGGGGUAAUGGCCUACCAAGGCGGCGACGGGUAGCCGGCCUGGGAGGGUGGACGGCCACAUUGGGACUGAGAUACGGCCCAGACUCCUACGGGAGGCAGCAGUGGGGAAUAUUGCACAAUGGGCGGAAGCCUGAUGCAGCGACGCCGCGUGGGGGAUGACGGCCUUCGGGUUGUAAACUCCUUUCGACCGCGAGGAAGCCACCUGGUUGGAAGGGUGGUGACGGUAGUGGUAGAAGAAGCACCGGCUAACCACGUG
rnacentral:rRNA from 1 species